rnacentral:rRNA from 1 species
AACGAACGUUAGCGGCGCGCCUAACACAUGCAAGUCGUGCGAGAAAGGGCUUCGGCCCCGGUAAAGCGGCGCACGGGUGAGUAACACGUAGGUAAUCUGCCCUCGAGUGGUGGACAACCCUCCGAAAGGCGUGCUAAUGCCGGAUAAGACCACGGGAACCUCGGUUCCUGCGGGAAAAGGUGGCCUCUGUAUACAAGCUAUCUCUUCAGGAUGAGCCCGCGGCCCAUCAGCUAGUUGGCGGGGUAACGGCCCACCAAGGCUACGACGGGUAGCUGGUCUAAGAGGACGAUCAGCCACACUGGAACUGAGACACGGUCCAGACUCCUACGGGAGGCAGCAGUGGGGAAUCUUGCGCAAUGGGCGAAAGCCUGACGCAGCAACGCCGCGUGUGUGAUGAAGGUCUUCGGAUCGUAAAGCACUGUCGGGAGGGACGAAUAAGGCGCCGGCUAACAUCCGGCGCUGAUGACGGUACCUCCAAAGGAAGCACCGGCUAACUCUGUGCCAGCAGCCGCAGUAAUAC